rnacentral:rRNA from 1 species
GACGAACGCUGGCGGCGUGCUUAACACAUGCAAGUCGAACGAGAAAGGCUCUUCGGAGCUGAGUACAGUGGCGAACGGGUGAGUAACACGUGGGCAACCUGCCCCAAGGAGCGGGACAACCCGAGGAAACUCGGGCUAAUACCGCAUGAUUCGUGCAGUCAUAAGACCGCACGGCAAAUGGUAGCUUCGGCCUCCGCCUUGGGAUGGGCCCGCGGCGCAUUAGCUUGNGGUGUGGGUAACGGCCCACCAAGGCGACGAUGCGUAGCUGGUCUGAGAGGACGAUCAGCCACACUGGGACUGAGACACGGCCCAGACUCCUACGGGAGGCAGCAGUGGGGAAUCUUGCGCAAUGGGCGGAAGCCUGACGCAGCAACGCCGCGUGUGGGAAGACGGCCUGGUGU